AGAUCUUCUUCGCUCCUUUCUUCUAUCGAAUGCCGCGGGCAAGCUCUUUCAUCGACGGAUGAUCUUUUGCUCCCAAGAAUCAAAAGUCAGGAAAGCCAAGAGAUGAAUCAACUCUUGCAGCGUGGCUUAACUGGCUUUCUAUCACAACACAUCAUGCUUCUCAAUAACCUCCCAUUCCCAUUUAUAGGAGUUCCCGAAUAGACACAUAUCGAUCGAUUGCACCGUGGGUUAUGGAACCAGGAGCAUCCUUCAGGGUCUGGAGUAGGAGAGCCUUCUCGACGAGCUCGGUGUAGCGGGAGUCGAGUUGAGGAGGUCGACGAGGAUGAAGUUGGAACUGAUCUGACCCCCCGUGGAGUUGCAGGGGCCAGUGGGGCAAUACGGAGGAGAUAGGAGAGGGAAGACACCACAGACACGAGGAUCCAUGAGGCUCGAGAGAGACCUCGGAAAGAAUUGGAGGUGUCUUCGUGGUCUCUCUAAGAUGGAGGACUCGGUGGAUGGAGAGGAAGUGGGCUUGCAUAGAGAAGAGAAAGAGAUGGAGAUGGGACGGGAGGGAUUGACUUAGAGAGAAAGUGUGUGAACAAAAGUAAAUGCGGUAAAGAGACACAUCAGACGGAAGUGAGAAUAAAUUCGAGGAGGACAAAGGUGGUCCAUGACCAGCUGAGAUCGAGGAGAUCCAUGUGGGCAGAAAAAAGAGAUAUUUUACACAUUAAUUAAAGCUUUUUUAAUCAAUUAUUUUUACUACUUUUGUUUACAUCUAUGUGGUUGGAAUCAACAUAGAAUGGUUGCAGCGAGCAUGCAUACAUCUAGAGUGCUAGAGCUAGUUUCCUCUUAAUCAAUCUCUAAGCAAGCUAACUGAUGCACGUUUGAUCCAUGUGUUAGCGGGUAAAAAACGAGCUAAUUCUAGAAAUAGAUCAUAAUUUGACCUGAUCAAGAGCAACAAUAUUUUAAACGCUUAUCUUGCAGUAGUAGUGCUAGAGAAGUCAUCACAUAAAUGUUUAUGUAGAUCACACAAACUAAUACCAUUUCAACCAAUCAAAUGUGGAUACUGCAUAAUUAAUGGUAGAGAUGGAUUUAAUCUACACGAUCUAUAUGUAAGUCAUGCAAUGUUUUGCUCUGGUCAAGAGUGAGAAUAUUCAACCUAUACACACCAAUUGCUUAGAAGCAAAACCUAGUUGUGACCUCUGAGCCAAUUCGCUGCCUAGUUCCUCCAUUUCCUGAAUCGAAAGCCUUUGCUUUUGCAGUCAAUCUGGCCUUCUAGGAUCCGAUUUUUUUCACUAAGUUAGAUGGAAUCAUUGCGCUUUGCUUUCAUCAGCGUGAUCUAAUUCACGUUGUCUAGUUAUGCAUUAUUUACACUAGAAACGUGUCCACAUAGCAAACAUAAUUAUUACAUGAAACACAACAUGAUCAAUUGUACCUAGUCGUCCCACGGAACGUUAUAAUAAACUAAAGAGCAAGGUUACUUCCACGCAAGCCGCAUGUUAAUUUAGUCCUCAAUCAAAGUGAUUAUCAGGUUAGCCUUGUUAUGCUUAUCUUCUAAUUAUCCCCACAUGACCUUGUUCUGUGAUUCAAUCAGUGAUAACACAAGAUAAUUCCACGAGAACAAGCUCGAUGAUGCGACAACGGAAGCUCAUUUUAAAUCUUCCCUACUAACUUUGUUUUUGUCUUCGCAUUGUUAUCAUCAUUCGAUAGUACGAUAAUCAAUGUCCUUCCUAUACUCAGAAAGCAAUCACUCCGUUGGGGUUCCGCUAAAAAUUGAAAAUUUCACAUGACCAUGGAAUUAUAUCCUCGCAACUUGAUUAGAAUCUCACAUUUUGUGAGGCCCAUGGUUUUUUAUUACAUUACGACACUACUAAUUCUUUGAAUAAUCUUUCAUCCAAAUUCCCAAGUUAUAAUAAAAAUGAUUUAUAUAAUAGCCAUGGUAAACUCCAGUUUACAUCAUAAAGAUAUCUUAUUAUUAUAUGCUUUGCUAUUAAGCUCCGGUAGUUUUUUUUUCUUUUUUGCCAUGAUCAUAAGUUCCGUUAGUCUCACGGCACUUUUGAUCAUUUUCAUAGCGCGUUGAUUAAUUAAAAGGUGCACCAUUGUUACUCAUUUCUGCUCUGGUACAUUGUUUGUAUCCGAGGAAAACACGAAGCUCCAAACAUGGCGCUCGUGUUGUGAGAAACGAGGUUUUUGGUUUCUUGUAGGAACAUGAAAUCACGCCUUGUGUAUUGCAGGAAAUUAUGUAAAUUAAAAAGCGAUUGCUUAAGGAGUGAGUUACAUGACCAUGGAAUGGUGUCGAAAUACGCGAGGAAACUUCCACAGGAGCUGGAUCUUGUUCGGUUAUGGGGCCAACAUCAUGGGAACAACAUCAAUUUAAGGAAAGUGUCUACACGCUUCAAACGUAUACACUAGGUACUGUUCUUCGUCGAUUCACUAGUCGAAGUUGAACUCUGAUGAGGGAGAUAUUCUCAGAUGCAACAUAAGACGUUCCCGCCCUCCCAAAUUGAUAAUUAUGUGCCAAGGUUCAUAGGCUCAGAAGAAACAGGAAAAUACCCAAUAUUUAGUAUUUUACGAUUCAUACGGAUAAAUUGUUGAUGUUGGGGCAAUCGGGAGUGCAUGUUAUGUUUCUAUUAGCAAAGUAUAGAGGAUGUGACGACUGGUGUACUCUCGAGAAAUAAAAAAAUAUUUGUUUAUGUGUUGAA